GUGAAUAAACUCGAGUGGGUUGUUGCUGACCUCUUCGGAGGUAUGUGCACGCCUGCCAUCGUUUCAUUCUCCCUUCCACCUGUGCACUCAUUGUGGAUCAAGCCACCAAUCCUUCAGGCAUUCAUUGUCUGGCAUGAGGACUUGCACAUUGCUGCUGUUCUUGGGUGGUUCUGGUCUACGUCUUUAUCAACUCCAUUGUAUGUGAUUGAAUGUAUGAUUUGGGUACUUUACGGCCCAUAAACCUUUAUA
rnacentral:misc_RNA from 1 species